AUGGGGCCUCAGGUAGCACUUCCCUGGGGAAUUUGUGGUGAAGCCUGCGGCUGGCCAGAGUUGUGGAGGACACCAAAUGUGGCGAGGCAAAACCUGAAAGGUUUGGGCUCGUUUCCAUCUGCCAAACUCAGUCUGAAUCAAGCACAAAAAGAUAGACAGACCAUAAAAUACUUCAUCUUCCCAGAAGAGCAGCCACAAGACAGGAUUCAGGAGAUGGGGUCAGCACCCAGCCAGCUUCUGCCCAUGUGUGAAUUCCAGCUCGUCAGAUCCUGCUCAUCUCGGGGCUCGCCCCAUCGCUUUCGUGCCCCACUUUGGUUACAGUGCUUGGACCAAGCUUGUCCCUGAUCAUUUCCAGUCCGAAGCACAUGUGUUGUGUAGGAUCUCUCUGCGGUGAGAGGAGGUGUAGACAGGACCUGCACAACUAUUUCAGGCUUCGAUGCCACAUUGCUAACAGGUAGUGAGAUAAAUCCCACAUUACAUUCUCUCUCCAGCCAGUGAAAACAGAAGGAUGCCUUACAGAAGUGAACUUCAGUCUUCAAAUAGCCUAACGCUUCCUGAAACUGCCCAUCUCUUGGUAUCAACUGAGAGGACAACUGGACUGGCUUGCAUCAUCUUAAUUUAGCUGCUUCCAUGAGGUGCCUCCAUUGCAUUUCUGCAAGCAGGUGUACCCUGCAAAACAACCUUUGGUUCAAGUUGGGUCCCCAAACAAUAUCGCAACAGCAAUUUCCAUCAUUAUAAACACAUACACAAUCGAAGUAAUGGAGAAUUACAAUAUAUGAAACUUAUUGUCUUUAGAGUAUUCCUCCCUUGUUCUCCAUGCUGAAAUUCAGUGGCUGGAUUUGGCCCCAAGUCUUCAGCCUGCGAUAGCUGAGCAGACAGAUAACUGCUGGAAUCCCUCUUGGAAAAUUUUCCCAUUUCUGAUGAACAACACGAACUGAUUUAGCUUGGAGUAAUCCACUGCCAAUACCCAAGGUGAUGUCCUUCCUGUGCCCUUGCUUCUGUCAUCCUGCUGAAAUGCAAUAAUGGCCAGCCACCUGCAACUUGUUUUGAUGCCGCUGAUAUUUCUUAUUCUCUUUGCUGCUGCCUGAGGGUAUGCACCAAUCUGUUAAUACAUAUAUAAAUAUUAUCCUUGUUAAUCCCUCAGAGAAAAAUAACAUCAACAAAACUUAUUACCAUUUCCUGUGUGGCUGACUGAAUAAUGUGAACCAGAUGAUGUUUAUAUUUAAAAAAUGAAAAU
rnacentral:lncRNA from 1 species